UACGUAGGGGGGCAAGCGUUGUCCGGAUUUAUUGGGCGUAAAGAGCGUGUAGGCGGUUUGGUAGGUCCGUUGUGAAAACUCGAGGCUCAACCUCGAGACGCCGGCGGAAACCAUCAGGCUAGAGUCCGGAAGGGGCGAGUGGAAUUCCUGGUGUAGCGGUGAAAUGCGCAGAUAUCAGGAGGAACACCAAUGGCGAAGGCAGCUCGCUGGGACGUGACUGACGCUGAGACGCGAAAGCGUGGGGAGCAAACAGG
rnacentral:rRNA from 1 species